rnacentral:rRNA from 1 species
GAUGAACGCUAGCGAUAGGCCUAACACAUGCAAGUCGAGGGGCAGCACAUGAGUAGCAAUACGAUGGUGGCGACCGGCGCACGGGUGAGUAACACGUAUGCAACCUACCUUUAACAGGGGAAUAACCCGUUGAAAAACGGACUAAUACUCCAUGACACAGGGGUCCCGCAUGGGAAUAUUUGUUAAAGAUUUAUCGGUUGAAGAUGGGCAUGCGUUCCAUUAGCUUGUUGGUGAGGUAACGGCUCACCAAGGCUACGAUGGAUAGGGGAACUGAGAGGUUUAUCCCCCACACUGGAACUGAGACACGGUCCAGACUCCUACGGGAGGCAGCAGUGAGGAAUAUUGGUCAAUGGAGGCAACUCUGAACCAGCCAAGUCGCGUGAAGGAUGAAGGUCUUAUGGAUUGUAAACUUCUUUUGCAAGGGAAUAAAGUGGGGGACGUGUCCUCCUUUGCAUGUACCUUGCGAAUAAGGAUCGGCUAACUCCGUG